AGAAGCAGCUGGUGGCUUGCAGAACAGCGCAGAUCGACCGAUCAGUGCAGCCGCGCCGCCACCGUUGCGGGCCGUGCCCUCGCCGGGAGGAGCAGCUGGUAGCCGGCGGGAGCAGAAAAGCCUUCUCCUACCUCCGCCUCUCACGUCGUGUCAUCGCCGGGAGGAGCAGCGUAGGUCGACGGAGCGGUGUUGUGUGUCGCACCAACGCUGCUUGCCGUGCCAUCGCCGGGAAGAGCGGCUGGUGGCAUCUCUGGCCAGCUGCCACAUGCUUGGGACUUCAUCGUCCAUACAAAGGUAGCCCAUGUGUCCCAAUCCACGUAAUGGAUGCAUAACUGGUUGUUGUUUGGGCGAUUACUGGCCUGCGGCUCGCCUGUGUUGUUUGGGCUGAGAUGAACACCGUUGGAUUCAAUGCUGGUUCAGGUGAGCUUCGGAUUGCUAGGUCACUGUCAAUUAUUGCUUUCAAAUUGUUCAAGUUAUUCAACUUUUUCUUUUUUUUGUACACCUCAGUACUCCAGCGAAAUGGAGUUGUUGACAGAAAAUAUUAUGAUCUGCACUAUUUGUUAGGGAUGAAAUUAUUUGUGUUGCGUCCGUGACUGACAUGGCCCUUUAAGUUGGAUUUAUUGUUUUGUAGAAUACAUGUAUGUAUGAUGAGAGUGGUUUACACUCCUGCAGCUUAUGGCAUCUACUGAAAAAAAAUAGAUCGUUACCAUUUUCAUGAAACUGUUCUGAGUAAUCAUGUUGUGCUUCCACAUACGCAUAGCUAUUGCUGAUACAUAAAUGAUGUUGCAUAAGGAAGACUCGGGAAGUAGGAAAAUUUAGCCUACGAGGAAAUAGAUGUUCAUUAGCUGGUUAGUUUGGUCAGCUUGGGUGCAGGAAGGCUAAGUUUUCAGCCCCAUCCUUCCCCUUUUUCGUUUAAUGUUCAUCAGUUUAUUUAUUCUUUCUGAUUCAUCUACUAAUUUGGAUAUAUGUUUAGGUCAGGUUUCACUUUUCAGCAAGUUAAUCUGGAGUCAUGUCUGCGUCAUGAAAUUUGUAUUGACAUUCUUGACUUUCUUUUUAAUUAGCUAUAAUUAGGUAAUAGGCCAUGAAUAGGAGGUGCAGACUGCGCAUGGAAGAAUUACAGAACACAAAAAACUAAUGGCACUAUCAUGUUGAGUCGCUUGGGAAGAGGUGUAAGACCGUGACUUGCGGGGUAAAAGGCCAAAGAAACGUUGUUGUUGAGGCUGCUCCCAGUUCAAAGAUCUUCCAUGGCGAUGCAGGGGAAUUCCAGUGCCCACACAAGCUCCUCCAUUUGGUGAUAUUAGAAAGAGAUGAAAAUGGCCUAGCUGGUGACCUUUGGAGAAUAGUAGCCAUAAUCAUUCUUCAAACAAGACCAUCAGGUUCUCUCUCUCUCUCGAAUGUACGGGAAAAUCUCAUCUUUGUUUGUGCAGAUCCCUUUUUGUCUGUGCUUACAAGGUGUUUGAUAAAAAUCCUAUCUAAUAUGGUUGUAGAUACUAUUUAAUGAGAAGAAAAUGUCCUAGCUGGCGACCUUUGAAGAAUAGUAGCCAGAAUCGUCUUUAUCGUUUGACCAAGGAGAAUGAGGAGCAGCGCAAGGGGGUUCUGAAUUAUGCUUAAUAUUCCAUAUUUUUAUUUUCUUCGUGAAUCAGUUUAGCAUUAGUAGUGGAAGGUCUUGCCAAAUUCUUGCCCUUCACGCUGGUAAAGGUUGGACCUUUCUGGUUUGAACCAUGGAGCUAAUUGGGAUCUGUAUUUUUCUCCAGAUCUGCAUUAGUUCAGCAAAGUUGAUGGAAUAAUCUAUGUGAGUGUUCUUACCCAGUUUAGGAAACUACAGGUUGUCAAGGAAGUGAUUGUAAUAACUUGAUGGAUACGGUGCUGCUAGACGAGAGACAGUUAGGAAAGCAGCACAUAGUCUAAAUUUAAUAAAAGGAGGCUGCUAUGACCAUCUCCACUAAAGUGGUAUCUCACUUUCCUAAUUGAAGUAUGCAAGCUCAAAUAUUUGUUUUUUCUACUACUGAGUUUCUUCAAAGACUAUCAGGUUCUCUCUCUCAAACAUAUGGGAAAAUCUCAUCUUUGUUUGUGUAGACCUGUUUUCGUCUAUGCGUAAAAGGUUCUUGAUAAAAGUCCCAGCUAAUAUGGUUAUAUUUACUAUUUAAGGAGAAGAAAAUGGCCUAGCUGGUGACCUUUGGAGAUGUAAGUUGAAUGUGAAUGCAAAAUGCAUCGCAUACUCUAUAAGGUCAUUUACAAAAUAUGCAUUUAUCUAUAUAGCGGCAAUGCAUUGCAUACUUCAUCGCGUAGAGCGGCUUUAUUAGAAGCAUAUAUCUGUAUCGGGCAAGAACGUAUGGUUCAUACAUUGGAUGGAAACAAUGGUGCUUUCACUCCUCUAUUUUGUCGAUGUCAAAUGGAGUAGAUGAUUUCUUAUUCAUGUUUUACAGAAGUGGAUAACACACAUUACUGCCUAGGCUUUACACAUAAUUGGCUACAUGACUUGUUCAUUGAUGGAUCUUUAUUUUUCUGUUCUAGGGAAACAACAUGUCUGGAGAAAUCCCCUUAGAAUGUGUUGAUUUGUUCAUGGAAAGGCUUUAGGAGGGAAAUGUUUGAGAUAAAGAAGUUUUUGCUGGGACCAAAGAAACACAACUACAAAAAUCUCCUGAGAAUGUAUUGGGUAUUCUGUGUGAGAAAAACCAGUGUCUAGGUUAGGCUGAUACUCUUCUGUGGACAUAUGUUCUCAGCAUUUAUGUGCGUGUACGCUUUGGCAGACACCGGCAAGUUACAAUUAGCAAUUCAUUUGAGCUCCUAUCCCCUUCAAUAAGAUGCCCACCGCUUCUUUAUCUUUUAUAGUGUUAUACGAUUUAGCAAGAGAGCCACAGUCAGCGCUUACAUGACCAAGUUUUAUAAAUGCCUAUCAUUAUUCUAAUUCCUAAAUAGAUUGAGAAACUGAAUCUCCGCUACCCUGCAGAUAUUGUUAGAUGAUUCAGUAAUCAAGAGCGAAAAAUAUUUGUUGUGUUGUGCAUUGCCUUGUGUUGCUAUCGCCUAACUGCUGGUUGUUUGACUUUUGCUUUUAUCUUAGACCGAUUGAGUUGUAUUUGUAUUUGGUAGUUGUAGUUUCAGUUUGUUGGUUUCUCUGAUCUGUUCAGAUUAUGACAUGUAUAGAUGUACAUUAAGGUGUACAAAGUGGUCUGUUGGCUGAUUUAUCCAUGCUUAGGUCUCUAUCAUAUUUUCCUAUUUCUAUAUUUACUUACCAAGUGUCUGUCUCUAGAACAGUGCCAUGACCAUCCAUGUCUCUUUUUAGCCCUUUUUAGAGACUUUUCUUACUUUUGAUCAUAGGUCAUACAUCAAUGAGGAUCUUCCUGAGAUCAACAAGCUGCUUACAAGGUAAUUGAUGCAUAUAUGCUUAGGGACUUCAAUUUGUUCGUGUAAUUGAGCCCGACUGUUCCUACUUUUCACCUACACGAUACAAAACAUAGUCACUGAUGCCUAGAGUAUUCCACUCCCGGGACAUUCUACUACCGAGAUAAGUGCCAGGUUGAUCUCAUGACAAAGACUAAUUCUGAACUGGUUGACUUGAAAAUCUGGGAACACAAGGUGUGUCCACAAUUUUAUGGUUUAUCUAUUGUCUAUCAUCAUCUUCCAGAGUGCUUAAUCUUGGCAUUUCUUUGCAGAAAACUAAGUUAUUAUGUACUGUUUUCAUCACAAAACUUAGCCCUGACCAAUGCUAUUGGUUCUCUUCCUGUACAACUUGCCGUAAAUCUAUGGUUCCGUACGACACCGAGUAAAAGUGAUGUGAUUUGAACUGCUAAUUCGUUAGUAUUGAAUUGUUUAUGUUUGGAUUUUCCUAAAGUUGUUUCAAGUAAUUUUUCCCAACUUGAUGAAGCAAUCCUGGUUUUUUUAAUGUUUUUGAGAGAAUGUUUCCUAAUGAUUGAGCGGUGAGGAAGAACUGGCGCAAGUAGAGGCCAACGACUUCUAUUUUCUUUCGUCUAAAUAAGAAUGAAAAUCCUAGGAUGUAUGUGUAUCAUAAUAUUGCCACAGAGCUCACUUGGAAAUUAUAUAUCUAAGAAAAAUGCAGGCAUCCUGCAAUCUGUGUACUAGAAAAGAUUAAAAAAAUCUCACUCUCUCAUUCCUGAACCAGGGAUAUAUGUUUCACUGGAUGCAUGCCCUUAGAAAUUUUGCAACUGCUGCAUGUAUGAAUGCGUAUGGUUGAGCAUCCUUUGCGUCGCUGGCUUUGGUGCUUGCUGACCUGGUUUUAUAUAUUAUCGUAGUAUGUGCAAGCAAUCUAAUUCGAUGGGUAUGAGUACUGUAUUUUCUUGCUUGCUUUUGGCCUUCAAUAGUGCAUCGUCACCAUAAGAAGCUAACCUGGCUGGUAUUAUUAUUUCUGUGUGCAGAAAAUGCAAAAUGGAGAUUGAAUUCGGCACUACAUGGUCACCAUUAUUCUGCCCAAAAGGUACAUGCAAGUUGGAUUAGAAUUUUGUAUUGAGUAAUCAACUAUGAAGAUUUAAAUAACGAGUAAUUCACAAUUUUGUAUUGAGUAAUUCACACCUUUCCUAUGAUAUCAUUCGUACUUUUACUGCACUAUUUUUACUCAAAGGAGUCCAGUAACAUUAGCAUGGUGAAAACUUGGAUUGGAUCAUGCCUGGUUAAAUCCAACAUUCGACAAAAAAAAUUCUCCAAAAAUAUGGUCUUUUAAUUCCCAAGAAAAGCAUUGGUGCCUACAAUUUAUGGUUCUACAAAUUUUUUGGCUAUUAAACUCUGGUUUCAUGAUUUCUACCACAAAAUAGCAAAGAAGUGUUGAUGCCCUCUAAGGUAGCACUGGGAUACUAUUUCAAUUUAAUCAUUUAUAUUAGAGAAAUAUACGAUAUGUUCUUUAUGAACGCUUGCAAAUCGCAAGUAUAUUUACUAAUUAACAUUGUUUGAUGCUUUGAUUGUUUUGUAUCUGUUUGCAUUUUUUCUGUACUCAGGAAGAUCGAGUAUUUACGCAGUAGUUAUUUACACAUGCUUGCAAAAUGCAUGUAUAUUUACUAAUUACCAUGGUUUGAUGCUUUGAUUGUUUUGUAUCACGGCUUGAGUACAUAUGAAGUAGCCUUUCCAAAAAAAAACUAUUCUUUUGCCUACUCUUUUUUGACUGAAUAGAUGGAGGUUUAAGACAGCUACUAUGUACAAGUUAAGUUGUGGAUGUAUUAUUUUUCUUUAUUACGGUUUUAAGUCAUGUUACAGUUGAUAUCUUCAUACUUCUGGUUUAGCUGAGAAUGCUCGCCAUCUUGUGUCAUUCGGACAAUUGAGCAACAUAAGCAUAUGCAAGUCUGAAUCAGGAUUUUUUGCUUUGAGACUGUUAGUGGCUCACCAUAUUACCUCAAGGUAUGUUUCAUUUAUUUUAUCCAUUUUGGAUCUUCUUUUCCUAAGAUGUUUCAAACAAAUUUUGACAACUUUCCAGAUACAUCCAAAUUUUGACUAAUUUCAGACAACUUUUGUAGGACAGAGGGAGUACAUAAUUCGAGCGAGAAAUUGUAACAAAGAAUAGAAUCUUGAAAUAAAACAAAUCUUCUUUAAUCACUGAAAUUUCUAAAAAUGGCACACUACUAACAACUUCAAUAUGUAUGCAAGAUUGAAAAGUACAGGGCCUCACCGAGAUUCAGCGGUCGAGCUGCUAUUGGGCGAGAGCCUGAGACGGCCGCCUGCUGGUGGCCGCGGUGGGCAGUAGCGGCGGCGAGGUGACCAGGCGCAGGCGUCCAGGGAGCUCUCAGCUCCGCCGCUGCUGCAAGUUGCAAUGCGGCCGGCGCGCUGCCUCCAGCUAGCUUCUCCCGUCCUCCCAAUCUCCACUGUUUAUUCUCACUCUGGUGGGAAUAAAGAAUCAAGGACAAGGAUAGGAUCUGGAGCUGCAUGUGACGCGGGAUUGGAGAUUUUGGUCGACAUGGAGAGAGAGCAGGGUUGGACAGGUUUUUGCUAGAUGUACCAACUUCUCUACCAAAUCAGUGAAUGACAGUGAUGUCAGGCAUUGUAACUUGUGGUUUCAGUGGUAGUACUCCUAGCUGGAGGUUAAAAAUAGAAAAAACUUCCAAACUAUGCUUGUUUAUUUUUUUGCCACAAGGUGAUAUUACUUGGCAGGAAAAAAACCUCUCAGGCUGGAUGUUAAAUUGAUAUUUGCAUCUAUUUGUAUACAUGUUUGUUUUCUGCUACAG